rnacentral:rRNA from 1 species
UACGGGGGGGGGCAAGCGUUGUUCGGAAUUACUGGGCGUAAAGGGCUCGUAGGCGGCCAACUAAGUCGGAUGUGAAAUCCCCAGGCUUAACCUGGGAACUGCAUCCGAUACUGGAUGGCUUGAAUUCGGGAGAGGGAUGCAGAAUUCCAGGUGUAGCGGUGAAAUGCGUAGAUAUCUGGAGGAAUACCGGUGGCGAAGGCGGCAUCCUGGACCGACAUUGACGCUGAUGAGCGAAAGCUAGGGGAGCAAACGGG